rnacentral:rRNA from 1 species
UAGCAAACAGGAUUAGAUACCCUGGUAGUCCACGCCGUAAACGAUGUCGACCAGCCGUUGGGUGCCUAGCGCACUUUGUGGCGAAGUUAACGCGAUAAGUCGACCGCCUGGGGAGUACGGCCGCAAGGUUAAAACUCAAAUGAAUUGACGGGGGCCCGCACAAGCGGUGGAGCAUGUGGUUUAAUUCGAUGCAACGCGAAGAACCUUACCUACUCUUGACAUCCUGCGAACUUGUGAGAGAUCACUUGGUGCCUUCGGGAACGCAGAGACAGGUGCUGCAUGGCUGUCGUCAGCUCGUGUUGUGAAAUGUUGGGUUAAGUCCCGUAACGAGCGCAACCCUUGUCCUUAUUUGCCAGCGCGUAAUGGCGGGAACUCUAAGGAGACUGCCGGUGACAAACCGGAGGAAGGUGGGGACGACGUCAAGUCAUCAUGGCCCUUACGAGUAGGGCUACACACGUGCUACAAUGGCCGGUACAAAGGGUUGCGAGCUCGCGAGAGUCAGCUAAUCCCGAAAAGCCGGUCUCAGUCCGGAUCGGAGUCUGCAACUCGACUCCGUGAAGUCGGAAUCGCUAGUAAUCGUGAAUCAGAAUGUCACGGUGAAUACGUUCCCGGGCC